rnacentral:rRNA from 1 species
GACAGAGGUGGCGAGCGUUGUCCGGAAUCACUGGGCUUAAAGGGCGCGUAGGCGGUUGUGUAAGUCUGAGGUGGAAUUCCGGGGCUUAACCCCGGGACUGCCUUGGAAACUGCAUGACUUGAGUAAGUGAGGGGAGGGCGGAAUUCCCGGUGUAGCGGUGAAAUGCGUAGAUAUCGGGAGGAAGGCCGGUGGCGAAGGCGGCCCUCUGGCACUUAACUGACGCUGAGGCGUGAAAGCGUGGGGAACAAAC